UAUCUGGUUGAUCCUGCCAGUAGUCAUAUGCUUGUCUCAAAGAUUAAGCCAUGCAUGUCUAAGUAUAAGCACUUGUACUGUGAAACUGCGAAUGGCUCAUUAAAUCAGUUAUCGUUUAUUUGAUUGUACCUUUACUACUUG
rnacentral:ncRNA from 1 species